GUGUUUGCUUCAGCUGCACACACACUACAAUUGGAAUGAUACAGUGGAAGAGGAGCAUGGCCUCUGCACAAGGACGAAACACAAAUUCCUGAAGGGUUCCAUACUCUU
ensembl:snRNA U6 U6 spliceosomal RNA